rnacentral:misc_RNA from 1 species
UCCGGUUUGACACCGGCAGUCUCGCUAGAGUCCUCGGCAUGACCCGUUAGCAACUAAGGACAGGGGUUGCGCUCGUUGCGGCACUUAAGCCAACACCUCACGGCACGAGCUGACGACAGCCAUGCAGCACCUGUGCUGGGCCCUUACGGACACGGGCUUUCACCCGCUUUACCCAGCAUGUCAAGCCUAGGUAAGGUUCUUCGCGUUGCAUCGAAUUAAGCCACAUGCUCCGCCGCUUGUGCGGGUCCCCGUCAAUUCCUUUGAGUUUUAGCCUUGUGGCCGUACUCCCCAGGCGGAGUGCUUAAUGCGUUAGCUGCGGCACAGAGAGGGUUGAAGACCUCCCCACACCUAGCACUCAACGUUUACAGCAUGGACUAC